rnacentral:rRNA from 1 species
AGAGUUUGAUCAUGGCUCAGGACGAACGCUGGCGGCGUGCCUAACACAUGCAAGUCGAACGAGAAUCAACUUAUGAAGUUUUCGGAUGGAUUAAGUUGAGGAAAGUGGCGAACGGGUGAGUAACGCGUGAGCAAUCUACCUUGUACUGGGGGAUAACGUCGGGAAACCGGCGCUAAUACCGCAUAAUACUAUGAGAUCGCAUGGUCAUAUAGUCAAAACUCCGGUGGUACAAGAUGAGCUCGCGUCCAAUUAGCUAGUUGGUGGGGUAAAGGCCCACCAAGGCGACGAUUGGUAGCCGAACUGAGAGGUUGAUCGGCCACAUUGGGACUGAGACACGGCCCAGACUCCUACGGGAGGCAGCAGUGGGGAAUAUUGCGCAAUGGAGGGAACUCUGACGCAGCAACGCCGCGUGAAGGAUGAAGGUUUUCGAAUUGUAAACUUCUUUGAUCGGGGACGAAAAUGACGGUACCCGAGGAACAAGCCACGGCUAACUACGUGCCAGCAGCCGCGGUAAUACGUAGGUGGCAAGCGUUGUCCGGAAUUACUGGGUGUAAAGGGCGUGUAGGCGGGAAGGCAAGUCAGAUGUGAAAUCCCAGGGCUUAACUCUGGAGCUGCAUCUGAAACUGUUUUUCUUGAGUACUGGAGAGGAAAGUGGAAUUCCUAGUGUAGCGGUGAAAUGCGUAGAGAUUAGGAGGAACACCAGUGGCGAAGGCGGCUUUCUGGACAGUAACUGACGCUGAGGCGCGAAAGCGUGGGGAGCAAACAGGAUUAGAUACCCUGUAGUCCACGCUGUAAACGAUGGAUACUAGGUGUGGGAGGUAUCGACCCCUUCCGUGCCGGAGUUAACACAAUAAGUAUCCCACCUGGGGAGUACGGCCGCAAGGCUGAAACUCAAAUGAAUUGACGG